rnacentral:lncRNA from 1 species
UAAUCAAAUUUUCAAAACGGACAGCUGUCCCUGUGACGUUUUAGUCUAAAAAUUGUUAAUGUAUAACAUACAUCAAAAUUAAAGCAGUUAGAUAUGCCUGAAGAAGCAAAUUCAUGCAUUUAUUAUUUUGGAAUAUUCGCAAUUGUAUUUCUAUUAAUAUACUUUUUUAAAAGAAUUAUUUGGCCGUAAUGGGUCUCCUCAUAACUCAAAAUUGAGUUAUACAAAAAAUGUAAAAAAUAAUAAACACUUAUACGUUUCCGAAUAUCCUGUAAUGUAAAAUAAUAAAAUAAUUAAUUUGUCGUA